rnacentral:lncRNA from 1 species
GAGCAGACAGCGCGGGCUGGGAGCGCCGGCAAGGGCGGCCCUCGCGCACCUGGCUGCCAGCCCGCAGGGGGCUCGCACGCAGACCUGCCCUUGCCACCUCAGCGCUCGGGUGCGGGCUGGGGGCGGUGGAGCCACGAAAGGUGGUGCCGAGAGCGGAGCGCAGGACAGCGCAGGAGCCCCGGCGCAUCGCGGCGCGCACAGACCCACAACUGAGAUUGCCGCUAGAGGGUGACGCCUGGGUCGGAAUCCAAGGAUUUGUGAAGAGGUGACCCAAAUUUCAAGACAAUGUUGGAUGCAAACGGAUUUGCCAGCAACUGCAUCACUGUCAAAACCAGCUCUGCCCGUGUCUUCCGAAGAUACCAAGUGAAAUACAUGUAGAUGGGAUUUACAUCUGAAAAACCAAGGGGCCAGUGUGGGUUGUGGCGUGAGGCAGGAAGCUCUGCAGAGUUCCUUGGUCAAAAGGAUUAAUUACAAAAGAACUCCAUGAACACCGAGAAGAAGAGAAGGGAAUCCUGGCAUUUAAAGCCACAAAGAAACUUGAUAUGGUGUGAGAAACUGAAGACCAGAGAGGGUGAGUGGUUUACUCAGUUUGGCACAACUGACCCCAACCUAGCCCUCCAUGAGGACUGAGCGCAUGAGAGAUCCUGAGCCACAGCCGCCCAGCCCUGCUCCUCUCGAAUUUCUGACCUACAGGAACUGCAAGAAGUAAUGAAAGACUGCUGUUUAAAGCCACUGCAUUUUGGCAUGAUUUGUUAUGCAGUCGUAGAUAACCAGAAAACAUCGGAUUUACAUUUUAAGGUAAACUUUUUAUUGAAACAUCACAUACACACAGAGACGUCCACCAAUUGGCUCGAUGAGCUUUCUCAAAGGAAACACAUUCUCUGAGCAGUGUGCACAUCCAGACACAUCAUCUCCAUCCUCCAGAAGCCCCCUCCUGUUAUCGCCACUCACAGGUCACCCGUCUCCUGACUUGCAGCCACAGAGAUAGUCCUGCCUAAUUCUGAACGUGGUACAAACGGAAUCAUACAGAAUGGGCUUGGCUUCUUUCACUCUGGGCUGUGUUUAUGAGCAUCACCCAGAUUGCUGCAUGGAAGCCAUCGUUUGUUCAUUUUCACCACCAUAGAGUAUUCUACUGUUGAUGGGACAUAGGCUAUUUAUUCCUUCUACUGUUGAGGGACGCAUAGUUAUUUCCAGCUGGAGACUGGUAUAUGUCUCUUGGCUACCUUCUGCAUGCAUUUCUGUUGGAGGUUGUUUCAGGUAUCUCUUAACGUAUAACAGACCACCCUCAAAUUGAGUCCUUGAAACAAUUACCAUUUUCUUCUUUCUCAGGAUUUGGUGCAUGGGAUGGGCUCAGUUGGGCAGUUCUUCUGUUCCAUGUGAUGGUACUGGGGCUGCAGUCAUUCAGAGGCUCAACUGGGCUGAACGUGCAAGGUUUCUUGCUCACGUGGCCAUCAGUGGUGCUGGCUGCUGUUGGGAGCUCCACUGGACUUCUGUCCAGAGCUCCUCAGCUCACCUCUCUGUAUCCUUGCCCUGUGGCUCAGGCUUCUAACAAUACAGAGGCUGGAUUCCAAGAGGAGGGAAUUAGAAGCGUUCAGCCUUCUUAAGACCAGGAUUCAGAUGUCCCAGACUGUCACUGUAUUGACCGGAGCAUUUACAGGCCAGCCUAGUAAUUUUUCCAUCUUGGGCAGGAAUGGGUGGCAUAUGCUGGGGGUAGGGGUAGCAUUGUUGGGGAUCAUCUUUGGAGCUGUGUGCCAAGGAGUAAAUUGCUGGGCUGCUUUCUACCUGAGGAAGUCCACUAUGCUUGCUUGUGGAGAGUGGAUUGUGUGCUCAGAGUCCACAAGGAUUUAAGAAUCCGAGCCCUGCUGCCCUUGCCUCAGCCUGUGCAUUAGGGCCCGGUGGUGAGAGCACUGAGCCAUUGUGAAUCAAGGCCCCUCCCUCGACCUGCAUACUAACAGGCCAGAAGAGCUUGCUUGAUUUUGGUCCUAGGCUCCUGCCUGUGGGUUGGAUUCCAGGGGCACUCUCUCCUCCACAAACCAGACGGUGGCAGGUACAUCCCCUCAAUGGAAAUUGCCCACACUUCACCCUAAAGACAGAUCCUGCUGUUCAGCAACAAUGUGAGUGGCCCACACAUUUGUCCAGCAUGAAACCGUUUGCAGAUUCCUUUCCAGUACACAGUCCCGUCAGCCGGUCACUUCACGAUGACAGCUCCUCGAAGCACCUUUUGGUUUGCAGUUGUGUAGCUUAGAAGUAGGAGCCUGCACGGCUUCAGGAAUUCACAGAAGGAGCACACUUUGUGCUUGGAGAAGUUAAUUAUAGGAAUAUCCUGCAACCUGCUGCUCUGAGCCUGUGCACCUGGGGUGUUUCCCUGGAGGUCCUGUGUAUGAGGAUACUCAUCAGCAUGGGGUUUGGGAAGCCUAGCAGUGGAGACAACCUAGGUGGUCCUCUCCAGGGGAGUAGGUAAGAGCCCUACAGCAGUGAAAAGCAUUGAAGGAAAAGUGUGUUCAGCAGUGCUCUUAAUCUGAUCAGAGCAGCCUGAACACAUUCUAAACACAGGGCAUUUAGAACUAGGGUAGAGGCACUAGAGCACCAUAGAUACAAACUCAGAUUCUGAAGGUAAAUGCCCAGGUUCAAAUCCAAGCCCCCUCGCCAAGUGACCAUGACUCCCCCGAGUCACCUGACCUCUGUGUUUACAUCCUCAAAGUUAAGUAGUCAGGAAAGGGGGCUUGGGGCUUGCCACAUGGAUGGUUGCCACUCUCCUUUGCAAAGUGUAGUCCCCAAAAACAGGUGGAAGAGGGAAGGGUCCAAUUAGAAGGCCGAGUACCAGCUGCCAUGAAUAUGCCAGAGCUGCUGGCUAGUGAUAAAUAACUGAAACCCAGGGGGACAGCAGAGCUUGGGUGACCAUACAUUCUAGGAAAGAAAACAUGCCUGUUGUCCUGGCUUUUUAUCCAGCUUAGACAAAGAUGGGCAAAGAAAAUAAUUUAGAAAAUGGUAGAGAUGGGCACAGAGAAAGGGCACGGAGGGAGGCACAAACAGAAGGCCAAGUGAUGGUGGAGGCAGACAUUGGAGAAAUGCCUUUACAAGCCGGGGAAUGCCAAGGAUGCUGGCAACCCUGGGAGUGGGAAGAACCUGGAACACACCCUCCGUCAGAGUCUCCAGAAGGAACUGGCCCUUCAUCACCUUUCGGACUUCUGGCCUCCAGAACUGGGCAAGAAAAUGUUUCUGCUGUUGGAGGCCAUCCAGCUGGUGGUCAUUUGUUAUGGUUGCCACAGAAAACGAAUAUAGAUUUAGACAUCUAAUUUGCAUAUAUAGAUAUGCAUGUGUAUUUGUUAAAUAAAAGAUAAAGGGAGUCAAGAUCUCUGAAACAGGUUGUGGAGUUUCACAGGACCCACAAGUAGAGGAAUCCCUGCCUGCAUCUGCAAUGGGAAUCCUUCAGAAGGAAAGGCUGAGAGCAUAUGGUCUGUCUUGACGAAUGUUUCACAUACAGUCACAAAGAGUGAGUUUUCUACACUUGCUGGGAUUACUUCAUGCACAUAAAAGAAAACGCAACUACAGUGGACCCUGAACAAGCUAUGGCCUGCAGCCACUGAAGAAUGCUUGCAUAAGGAGCUCUUCUCUGCACAUACCCCGACACAGUGAUGGUAUCUUGCAGCUGCUGCUUCUGUCCAAGGCACUGCAGCCUACUCGUCAAAAGCCCGAAGCCCAGCUCUGCCAGCAGUGCACUGUGUGCUCUUAGGAAACAGAGAAGCAAAGAAGUUAGCAAGCUUGUUUUGGCAGAAGAAAAAACACAAAAUACCCAACCACAGAUCCUCAAAAAUAUUGCUAAGCACUAAUUUUGCUAACAUGUUAGACAGCCUUCGGAUCUAGGCAAUCUUGUUCCUCAGCUGGAAAGAGUUCCUGCCAGCCAUGUGAUUCCAAAUCCACCCUGGACAUAUGGGGAUAAUGAGAAAAUCAGCUCCGGCCUUCCCUGGCCUUCCAGCCAAGUGAAUGGGGGCAUCCCCUGGUGCUUCAGCCCGGGGCCCACCCAGAGGAUGCUAGCUGGCCUGCAGAGGCCUCAACCAUGCCCUCCUGGACUCAGGUAAGACUGAGGUUUCCAUGCCCUCAAAACAAUUGUUCAGACAAAAACUCACUGCCCAGGUCAAAGUCACAGCACCAGAAAGCCAACCUGAGGAUGAAGACAAAGCUCUUUGUUGGCACAGUCCCCUGAUCAUUCGAGGUCAGCAUCUCCAUCAAAAUGGACCCAAUGCUGAGGCAAGAAGGAGAACAUCACUGUUAAGAAGGUAAUGAGUCACAAAUGCUAUUUCGAUGGUUUUCUUUGAAAGAAAUACACAGAACCAAACCAAUUUUAAUUAAAGAUCUUGUCUUUGUAAUCAGGCAGCCACAAAUGAAGGCAAAACUGCUUUCAUGUGGCAUAAUAUACACAGAGCUGAACUAGUUUUCCCAUAAAAGGGCAGGUUCUUUUCUUCAAAUAAGAAAAGAGUUUGUUCCUAACAAUAUGGGGGAUGCAACAGAAAGCUGUCUUUUGCAAAGUAUAAAAUUGCAGAUCCUCCCGUGGAAGCCAUUUCUUGAUGCUAAACCAAUGCGAACGUUUGCCAAACGCACAUGCGAGCCGGGAUUAUCCUACCCUUUGAGAUUAGACAUGUGAUCCUGAUUUUUAAGUGAAAAACGCAGCCAGAGGCCAAAUAAACAUACCUACAAGUACAUCGAAAGCUCAAAUGGUUGAGAAAUGAUUGUAACACACCCCGGUGUGUAUUUCUGAGGAAGAAUCAACAUGCACAUGGAAAUUGAUGUUUUGAUUUUUAAUUUUAAAACGACGACAGAACUGAAAUACCUCCCCUAACUAGGUCCACUGAAACCAGUGAGGAGAUAAUCAUUUUCAGUUAAAUAUGCAUGUAAUUUAAUAAUCCACAGAUGGAAAAUGCAUUUGAGGUGGACUGAACACAGCCAGGAGUUUUUGCUUAUCGACAGCACUGAAUCCUGCCUUGACUAGAGAGACUCGUCAUGUGAUCAACUGUGGCCAGAGGGCAUCCUGCAGACAGCUCCUGUCACACCACACUGACCAGACUCUUAUGAGUAUUUAAGCAUCUUCAGGGAAGCGAUUGACUGUCUUAUAAUGGUCUUACAAGUACGGAACUUUAUUACCUGCUAAUAAUCAGAGCACAUGAUGGCACAAUAGAAUAUACGAGUGAAGUUCUAAAUGCAAGGUUGUUCUUAUUCUGUGAGUGGCAAAACUCAUGCAGUGAGCAGAUAAAGCUGGCAGGAGGCAUUGGCGCCCUAAUGCUGGGCACUAACCACCUGCCCGGACUGCGAAUAUCUGUUGGGUCCUUUCUAUAUCUGGUCUAUUCUCGUGUUUGAUUAUAUCCUGGUGGCAAGAAUAGCAAAAUCAACUCUCCUUCCUAUCCCAUGUGGAGAGGCAUGAUUUGAGUCAGAGAGCAUUAUCCUCUCUGCGUUAUCCAACCCCAUGUCCCAUGAUGCACUUUGUAGACAAGCAAGUGUCCCUGGUGGAGAAUCCACAGCCACACAUCCUCAUUGGUUGCAAGGAUCAGUGUCCAAUAUCUACUGCCAUGAUCAUUCUCAGUUUUACAUCCACAGAGCUUCAUAGAAUUCUAACACCACAGGUCCAAGUAGAGGUUUUGGCCUCAGAGUGGGCUAGAUUCCACCUCUGACAGCAGCUGUGGGACUGUUUUUCCAUCUGUAAAAUGGAGACAAGAGUAUCACCUACCUCAUGGUGUUGGUGGGAUCGUUAAACAGAAUUCCGAUCAUGAAACCCUUAGCCUGCUCCCUGCAUAGGCUGCAUGCGCUCAGUGAGCUAUGGCUCUGUUUCAUGCUGACUUUACCAUCAUGUAAGCAGUUUUAAAAAUGCUAGAAGCUUUAGUCAUAGAAUUACCAUAUGAUACAGCCUACUGCAGAGUCCAGAGGCUGAGGCAGGAGAGUUACUUGAACCUGGGAGGCGGAGGUUGCAGUGAGCCAAGAUCGCGCCACUGCACUCCAGCCUGGGCAACAGAGUGAGAUUCUGUCUCAACACAAAAAAGAAGACAUGUGUCCCCAUCACAGUAUCAUACAGAGUGCUUCCACUGCCCUAAAAUACCCUGUGCUCUUCCUAUUCAUCCCUCUCUUCAACCCCAGCAACCACUGAUCCUUUUACCAUCUCCAUGGUUUUGCCUUUCCCAGAAUGUCAUAUUGUUGGAAUCAUACGCUAUGUAGCCUUUGCAAAUGGGCUUCUUUCACCGAGCAAUGUGCAUUGAAGGUGCCUCUAUGACUUUUCAAGGGUUGAUAGCUCAUUCCUUUUUAUUGCUAAAUAAUAUUCCAUUGUCUGAAUGUACCACAUUUUGUUUAUCCAUUCACCUACUAAAGGACAUCUUGGUUGCUUCCAAGUUUGGGCAAUUAUAAAUAAAACUGCUAUAAA